rnacentral:rRNA from 1 species
UACGUAGGGUGCAAGCGUUGUCCGGAUUUAUUGGGCGUAAAGGGGUCGUAGGCGGUCCGUCACGUCGGGAGUGAAAACUUGGGGCUUAACCCCAAGCCUGCUUCCGAUACGGGCGGACUAGAGUACGGAAGAGGCGAGUGGAAUUCCUGGUGUAGCGGUGAAAUGCGCAGAUAUCAGGAGGAACACCAGUGGCGAAGGCAGCGCGCUGGGACGUCACUGACGCUGAGACGCGAAAGCGUGGGGAGCAAACAGG